GGAUGAAAUAUUGAACUCCAAUCGAGAGCACAGUCAGAUCAAAUCGGGAUAUAGUGCCGGAAGGUGGGCCGGCAGGAUUCUCCAGUGAAAUUUGUUUAUCUCCGUAUGGUAGAUCCGCUUUGAAAACGCGACAUUCGCGUGACAAGAACCUGUUGUUGUUGCUGCGCUUUCGAUAAGUGUUCUAGCGGUAAAUUUUAGGCGGAAAAAUCGAUUGUUCUCGUUUGAUUGUUUUUGUUUUGGUGCACGGCUUCGUUACGCGAUUCCUGCAGUCCCCCCGCUCGGCCACCGACACGGCCACAUGACUCAUGCACGGCUGCAACAAUGAAAAGCCACAAUAAGUACGCCAAGUUGCCCCAAGACCUCGACUUGAGUUUCCAAAGCGAUCUGGACCUGCUGCCGGACACAGCGGCCGACAUCGAUCUCGACAUAGAUGUGGACGUGGAUGCCCUCAAUCUGAGCUCGCCCGCCGCUCUGGACCUCCUCGACGACGACGAGGACGACGAGAUUGUAAUUGCCACUGGUGUAGGCGGCGGCGGCGGCGGCGGCGGAGGCGGCGCCAGUGACGGUGGUGGCAAGGGCGGCCUGCGUCUAGCACCAAAAACCAAGCAGCGUAAAAACCCAUUGGAACAGCAAAAGUUCCACAGCAAGAACAAAAUCUGCGGCCUUGGCAGCGACAGUAUUAUCGAGACGGGUUUAACCCUCACGCCAGAAAUGCUGCUCUCCACCUCGGAGUCAUCGACGCACAGCGCCUCCGAGGUUGCCGGCCGACUGCAGGUCGAUGUGCGGACCGGCCUCAAAUGGACAGAGGCCAAGUACCGGGCCAAGAUCAUUGGCCACAAUGAGCUGCUGCUGAUCGAGGAGGAGCCCACAUGGAAGAAGUACAUCGAGCAGUUCAGGAACCCUCUCAUCCUGCUGCUGCUCGGCUCGGCCCUGGUCUCAGUGAUCAUGAAACAGUUCGACGAUGCCGUCAGCAUAACCAUCGCCAUCCUGAUCGUGGUCACGGUGGCCUUCAUCCAGGAGUACCGCUCCGAGAAGAGCCUGGAGGAGCUCAAGAAGCUGGUGCCCCCCGAGUGCCACUGUCUGCGCGAGGGCCGCCUCGACACGUUCCUGGCCCGCGAGCUGGUGCCCGGCGAUGUGGUGCACCUCAACGUGGGCGAUCGUGUGCCCGCCGAUGUGCGUCUCUUCGAGGCCGUCGACCUCUCCAUAGACGAGAGCAGCUUCACGGGCGAAACGGAGCCGGCCCGCAAGAUCACCGACGUCCUGCUGAACAACACGAACGUGAAGGACCACAGCAACAUGAAGAACAUCGCCUUCAUGGGCACCCUGGUGCGCUGCGGCAACGGCAAGGGCAUCGUGGUCAGCACCGGGGAGCGCAGCGAGUUCGGCGAGGUCUUCAAGAUGAUGCAGGCCGAGGAGGCCCCGAAGACGCCGCUCCAAAAGUCAAUGGACAUCCUGGGCGCCCAGCUGAGCUUCUACUCGUUCCUCAUCAUCGGCGUCAUUAUGCUGCUCGGCUGGCUCCAGGGCAAGCCGCUCUCGGAGAUGUUCAACAUCAGCGUCUCGCUGGCAGUGGCCGCCAUACCCGAGGGCCUGCCCAUCGUCGUAACCGUCACCCUGGCCCUGGGCGUCAUGCGGAUGGCCAAGCGCAAUGCGAUCGUGAAGAAGCUGCCCACCGUCGAGACCCUGGGCUGCGUGAACGUCAUCUGCUCGGACAAGACGGGCACUUUGACCAAGAACGAAAUGACGGCCACGAUCAUCAUCACCUCCGACGGCUACAUGGCGGACGUGACCGGCGCCGGGUACAACGACCAGGGCGAGAUCCACAUCCGGCACUGCAACAACGUGGAAAUGGCCAAGACCAACAUCACGAAUCUCCUGGAGAUCGGAGCCGUCUGCAACAACGCGUACAUCCAGAACGGCACGCUCCUGGGCCAGCCCACCGAGGGAGCUCUGGUGGCGGUGGCCAUGAAGAACGGCAUGUACGCCACGGCCGAGAACUAUGUCCGCAUCCAGGAGUACCCGUUCAGCUCCGAGCAGAAGAUGAUGGCCGUCAAGUGCAUCCACAAGUACAACAACAACAAGGAGGAGUUCUUCUUCGCCAAGGGAGCGCUGGAGACGCUCCUGCCGCAGUGCACCAAGUACCAGUUCGGCACGCAGACCGUGCCCCUGACCAAGCAGAACGAGGCGGAGUUCCUCUCCGAGGCCUACGAGAUUGGACGCAAGGGCCUCAGAGUGCUGGCCCUGGCCAAGGGCCGCUCCAUGCAGGAUCUGAUCUACUGCGGCCUGGUGGGCAUCACCGAUCCGCCGCGGCCCCUGGUCAGGGAGUCCAUUGAGAUGCUGAUGCAGAGCGGUGUCCGGGUGAAGAUGGUCACGGGCGAUGCCCAGGAAACGGCCCUGGCCAUUGCCAAUCUCAUCGGCAUCGACACCAUCCACCACCAGACGCUGUCCGGGCAGGAGAUGGAUCAGCUGAACGAACACCAGCUGGACAAGGUGGCCAACAACGUGAGCGUCUUCUACCGCGUCUCGCCGCGCCACAAGCUGGAGAUAGUCAAGUCGCUGCAGCGCACCGGCAACAUUGUGGGCAUGACUGGGGACGGGGUCAACGACGGAGUGGCCCUGAAGAAGGCGGACAUCGGCAUUGCCAUGGGCAAGAAUGGCACGGAUGUGUGCAAGGAGGCUGCCGACAUGAUCCUGGUCAACGACGAUUUCCACACCAUCAUAGCUGCCAUCGAAGAGGGCAAGGGCAUAUUUUACAACAUUCGGAACUUUGUGCGCUUUCAGCUGAGCACCUCGAUCGCUGCCCUGGCCCUGAUCGCUCUGGCCACGCUGAUGGACAUUGCCAAUCCGCUGAACGCCAUGCAGAUUCUAUGGAUCAACAUUAUUAUGGACGGGCCGCCCGCUCAGUCGCUGGGCGUGGAGCCCGUGGACCACGACGUGCUCAAGCAGAAGCCGCGGAACGUCAAGCAGCCGAUGAUCACCAAGUCGGUGGUGGCGAAUGUGCUACUGAGUGCCAGCAUCAUAGUGCUGGGCACACUGUGGGUGUUCCAGCGCGAAAUGGCCGACGGCACUUUGGGGAAGACCAAGCGGGACACGACCAUGACCUUUACUUGCUUCGUAUUCUUUGACAUGUUCAACGCCCUGUCGUGCCGAUCGCAGACGAAGAGCGUGUUCACCAUUGGGCUGACCACCAACCGCAUGUUCCUGCUGGCCGUGGCCUUCUCGAUCAUUGGCCAAAUGCUGGUCGUGUACUUUCCACCGCUGCAGAUGGUCUUCCAAACGGAGGCCCUGACGCCCUACGACAUCCUUUUCCUGGUCACGCUCACCUCCUCCGUGCUGGUCGUCUCCGAGAUCAAGAAGUGGUUCGAGCGCACCAUGGAGCGCAAGAUGUACAGCACCCGCUCCGAGCUGGACUUCGUAUGACAAAACGCAAGCGCUAGAGACGAGUUGCACCCGAAAGCCGAGUAAAUUAAAUAACAAACAAAAAUAACAAAAAAAAGAGAAAAACUAUGCCAAAACCAAGUGAGGAGCGUGGUGGACUGGACCGACGAGCAGCAGCAGCAGCAGCAGGAGAGAAGCACGAGAGCAGCGAAGUGUGUGUUUAGUUUUACAUUUGACUCGACUCGACUCGACUCAAAAGUUAGCCAAAAUUUAAUCAGCAAAGCUGGGCGCAACUAGCCCCAUUCCGGAUUCCCAUAUUCCCAUACAUAAAUAUAUUCGACGUAAGCCUCAAGGUUCGCGUUAGCUCUCUCAGCGAACCAAGAACCACAGAAAUUCAACUGAGCAAUCGUUCAAUCGUCUCUCAGAUUCAAUCCAACAGAUGCAGAUGCUGAUACAGAUGCAACCCACAACCUAAAGUACCCUACCCGAUUAAAAUGUAAAAGAAAUGUGCAGGAGUCGCAGGAGCCCAUAAGACGAGGACGGAGCCCAGGCGCAGUGAAGUGAAGCAAAUGGUUUUUAGUAAUUUUGUUAUCUAAUUUAUUCGGUGUUUGAGAAAACAAGCAACAAAUUUGUGUACAACAACCGCAAAACGAGUCUCUAGUGCGCUAGCAGCCAAAACAAUUUAGAACGCGACUCCAGCUCCCGAACCAACACCUUCGAAGGGGGCGGGGAGGCUGGAGAUCGCCAAAAAAAAAAAGGAAUACUUCGCGUAUAUAAAACAAUGAUUAUGUAUUUUAUAUACGUAUGAAUAUUUGAGUAAUUUGAAUUUGAGAGUCCUAAGUAGACCAAAUGUGUUUUUUAGUUUGCCGCCAAAGAGCAAACAGCAAACAGUUCAAAAACAGAAUAAUGCACAGAACAAUGAGAUGAGCAAGAUGUGUAGCAAGGCAAAGCCAAUUCCUCUCAUAGCAGCACCAGAUUACUGGAAAGUAAUGUAUUUUAUUCAGAUAUAUUCAGAUAUAUAUUCAAUUCAAAUGGUAUUCGUAGCAAGUAACCCCACAAUGUACUCACCUUAAGACCCUUCAGUUUCGAGGUUUGAGCAUUGAACAGAGAAGCAAUAAUUAAAACAAUACGAUAUGACAGUCGGUUGGGCUUGUCAUCCUAUAUACUCGAUCUCCCCCCUCAAAUAGACAGUUUCAAUGGGAAAAAUCAAAAGAAAAAACAAAAGAAAACAAAAAUAAAACAAAACAAAAAAACUGCAAAAAUAGUCAAUUAAUACAUUUUGAAACCGUAUUAAGAGGAAAAUAUACAUAUAUUCAAGUGAAUUCGUAGACACAAGAUCUAAAAUUAAUAGUAAAGGCAACAUGUAAUCUCACUUCUAUGUUAUUGUUAAAUCCUCCCAAUAUCAUCGACAGUCGAUUCAUAUCAUCACCACUCAGAAGACCCAUGACCCCUCUCGCUCGAGCGACCAACCACUCAUAUUUCUACCGAUCAGAUCGCCCCCGAUAGAGUAUCGGGAGUGAAGAUUUCACUGAUUCACUGAUGCAUAUCACAUUUGCACCUAGAACGCAAAGCUUACUCACUGGCAAUCGGCUCGGAUUGUCUUCGAUCCUAAAGGCUCAGCUCGGAAAGCAACUUUUACACCUUUCGUUGAAUGAACACCUAUUUUUCACGUGUGUUUUAGUGCAAUGAGUUAAUAAGUUAAUGGACCAAGCAAGAAAUUAUUUACAAGAAUUGUAUCACACACUUCAAUAUCAGGCUUAAGCUCUCAUGAUCCACCAAGACACAGGCGCACCCUCAUAUAUCAUGGCAAGAAAAGUCCUCAAAAAAAAACAGAAAAUCAUUUAAAAAUACACACAAAAAAAAUGUAAAAUCUACGAUGAAAAAUUAUAAAAAAAAAUGAAAGAAAUUGUUUUACAAAGCAUUCCUAGAAGCAAGCAAAGGCUCAUUAUCAUAACCCACGCAUGAAUGCAUACCACACAUAAACAUAAGGUACACCGGACACGCCCACUCACACACACUCACACACACACACACACACUCACUCACAUCUCAUCCACAAUGGUAACAAUAAUUAGUAAAUUAAGUAUAUUUGAUUAACUAACGACAGCAACAAGAUCAAUAUCAAGAUCCAGAUCCACUGCAUGCAUGAGUGUCUGAAUAAUAAAAUAUAAUAUGAAUACGAAUACGAUUACGAUUACGAUAAAAUAGUCGAAACACAGGUAACGAGAUAACGUAUCUAAUGGAAAAUAUACCAAAAUUAUAUGUAUUGUACGGAAUUUUUUUGAUUAGCAAAGAUCGUGGAUUGGCAGAGGAUGUAUGUGCUGGACUAUGCGAGAAACAAUAAUUUAUAACGAUCGAUAUUGAUAUUGAUAUUAUGCUUAACCACUAAACGAUAACCGGGCUAUGAAGAUAUCCGAAGGAAGCGAAGGCGCGUAUAUAAGCCGCGUAUCAUAUGUGUAUGUCUGUGUAAAUGUCUAACAGUGCUGGCUGAAAUAUCGAGCAGUUCACGUGCUAUCAAGUCUCAAUCUGUUGCUCAUCUGUUUUACGAUCUACUUUAGUCUUUAGUUGGUUCAGUUAGAUGGAAUGUACAAACUGCUGGAAUGCGAAAUGAUUCUCGAAUGAUUUUUUUGAUCCAGGCUUAACCUAAAUGAAAUUAAACUAUAACUAACUGUGCUAUUAAAUGUAAGCGUAAAGAAUAUAUACAUAGAUGAAUACCAAGCAUAGGGCAGACAUUUCAGAAAUAUUUGCUACUUUUUUCUUACCCAGACUCCCGCCCCCGACCCCAGCCCUGGACACGAUUAUUCUUUACCUACAUAUAUCUAUAUCUUUAUCUUUCCUCCCCUUCACUCGAUGCAACUGAGGCCAGCUCUAUACCAUGUAAAAGUCAACUAAUGAAUUUACAUACCCGUAAUUACAUAAUUUCAAUAUUUAGUUAAGUGAAUAGCAUUGCGAUCUGCAGAAUCUUAAAAAUACUAAAUAAAUUAUACAACUAACUGUACUAAUAAUAUAUUUAAUAUUUAUCUGCGCGAGAA